rnacentral:rRNA from 1 species
AGUGAACGCUGGCGAUAGGCCUAACACAUGCAAGUCGAACGGCAGCACAGUAAGAGCUUGCUCUUACGGGUGGCGAGUGGCGGACGGGUGAGGAAUACAUCGGAAUCUACUUUUUCGGGGGGGAUAACGUAGGGGAACUUACGCUAAUACCGCAUACGACCUACGGGUGAAAGCAGGGGAUCUUCGGACCUUGCGCGAAUGAAUGAGCCGAUGUCGGUUUAGCUAGUUGGCGGGGUAAAGGCCCACCAAGGCGACGAUCCGUAGCUGGUCUGAGAGGAUGGUCAGCCACACUGGAACUGAGACACGGUCCAGACUCCUACGGGAGGCAGCAGUGGGCAAUAUUGGACAAUGGGCGCAAGCCUGAUCCAGCCAUACCGCGUGUGUGAAGAAGGCCUUCGGGUUGUAAAGCCCUUUUGUUGGGAAAGAAAAGCAGCAGGUUAAUACCCCGCUGUUCUGACGGUACCCAAAGAAUAAGCACCGGCUAACUUCGUG